AAGAUUGACAGAGACAAAGUAAAGGCAGCGCUGGAGAAACGGAAGAAGUCAAGGGGUGAUGUUACAAGGAAAACUGACCUCUUGGACGAGGAUGAUCUCAUUGAGAGGGAACUGGAAGCUGGUAUUGAACUAGCUGCAGAGAGUGAGAAGAGUAAGCGGGACAGGAGGCAAAGCUAUUCUAAGCCCUUGGACAGGCAUGAGCAUGAAAACCUACAUCAUGAAAAACAUCAAGAGGAUGCAGGGGAUGGAGAAAGUCGAGGAAUGAAGGGGCAUUUAUCACAUAAAUCAGAUUUGAACAUGGAAGAAGGUGAAGUUCCCGAUGACAUGGACCAGGGCUUGCAUUCACCCAAAUCAAGCAAACGCAAGCGAAAGUCAUGGAGCCCACCAGACAAGAUGCCUGAGGGCAAGCAUUGGAAUGAUUAUGUGCCACAUCAUUAUAAUAAUCACGACUACUUAGACGACCGUAACAGGAUGAGCAGGCUUGGUUAUGUGGAGAGGGAUCACUGAAGGCAUGCACCAGAAAAUCACGCCUGGGGGAUGUCUGUCCUCUGAAGCACAUAUUGAGUAGAGUUUCUCAUUGGAUGCAGGUAAUUGUUUAGAAGAUCACAGUUGCUGUCAGCUGUCAUCAGUCCUGUAGGGAGACGAUAAUAUUUGGUAUAAAACAAUGGAGGACUUUUUUCUUUUUCAGUUGAUUAUUUGGACCGACUUUCCAUAUAAUUUGUAAGAAAUGAGUCUAUCGAAGUUCUGACGCGACUCGCUUCCCCCCCCAUGCCUUUGCCCGCCGGUCUCUCUUUGGAAUGCUUGGAAUCAUUAUGAUCCAUGGAUAAUAAAGAUGAUAAUUUUGUAGAGAAAUUAUGAUCACACUGUUAAAGAACUUGUAGUGUUGGAAUUUUUAG
rnacentral:misc_RNA from 1 species